UACGGGGGGAGCAAGCGUUGUUCGGAUUUACUGGGCGUAAAGGGCGCGUAGGCGGUCAGCACAAGUCAGUUGUGAAAUCUCCGGGCUUAACUCGGAAAGGUCAACUGAUACUGUGCGACUAGAGUCCGGAAGAGGAGAGUGGAAUUCCUGGUGUAGCGGUGAAAUGCGCAGAUAUCAGGAAGAACACCCGUGGCUAAGGCGGCUCUCUAGUACGUGACUGACGCUGAGACGCGAAAGCGUGGGGAGCGAACAGG
rnacentral:rRNA from 1 species